AGACCAUGUUGUGGACAACACCUCGAUAGGUCCUUAUAUCUCUCUCAAGCUUCAUAGAGUGUCUCACCAUCUUAUUGAGUAAAAGAAGCUAUGUCAUGUCAAAGCUU